GCCACCGUAGCUCAGUUUGGUUAGAGCGUGAGUUUCGUAAACUCAAGGUCGGGGGUUCGAAUCCCUCCGGUGGCU
rnacentral:tRNA from 1 species